rnacentral:rRNA from 1 species
AGCGUACACGGUGGAUGCCCUGGCAGUCAGAGGCGAUGAAGGACGUGCUAAUCUGCGAUAAGCGUCGGUAAGGUGAUAUGAACCGUUAUAACCGGCGAUUUCCGAAUGGGGAAACCCAGUGUGAUUCGUCACACUAUCAUUAACUGAAUCCAUAGGUUAAUGAGGCGAACCGGGGGAACUGAAACAUCUAAGUACCCCGAGGAAAAGAAAUCAACCGAGAUUCCCCCAGUAGCGGCGAGCGAACGGGGAGCAGCCCAGAGCCUGAAUCAGUGUGUGUGUUAGUGGAAGCGUCUGGAAAGGCGCGCGAUACAGGGUGACAGCCCCGUACACAAAAAUGCACAUGCUGUGAGCUCGAUGAGUAGGGCGGGACACGUGGUAUCCUGUCUGAAUAUGGGGGGACCAUCCUCCAAGGCUAAAUACUCCUGACUGACCGAUAGUGAACCAGUACCGUGAGGGAAAGGCGAAAAGAACCCCGGCGAGGGGAGUGAAAAAGAACCUGAAACCGUGUACGUACAAGCAGUGGGAGCACGCUUAGGCGUGUGACUGCGUACCUUUUGUAUAAUGGGUCAGCGACUUAUAUUCUGUAGCAAGGUUAACCGAAUAGGGGAGCCGAAGGGAAACCGAGUCUUAACUGGGCGUUAAGUUGCAGGGUAUAGACCCGAAACCCGGUGAUCUAGCCAUGGGCAGGUUGAAGGUUGGGUAACACUAACUGGAGGACCGAACCGACUAAUGUUGAAAAAUUAGCGGAUGACUUGUGGCUGGGGGUGAAAGGCCAAUCAAACCGGGAGAUAGCUGGUUCUCCCCGAAAGCUAUUUAGGUAGCGCCUCGUGAAUUCAUCUCCGGGGGUAGAGCACUGUUUCGGCAAGGGGGUCAUCCCGACUUACCAACCCGAUGCAAACUGCGAAUACCGGAGAAUGUUAUCACGGGAGACACACGGCGGGUGCUAACGUCCGUCGUGAAGAGGGAAACAACCCAGACCGCCAGCUAAGGUCCCAAAGUCAUGGUUAAGUGGGAAACGAUGUGGGAAGGCCCAGACAGCCAGGAUGUUGGCUUAGAAGCAGCCAUCAUUUAAAGAAAGCGUAAUAGCUCACUGGUCGAGUCGGCCUGCGCGGAAGAUGUAACGGGGCUAAACCAUGCACCGAAGCUGCGGCAGCGACGCUGAUGCGUUGUUGGGUAGGGGAGCGUUCUGUAAGCCUGUGAAGGUGUGCUGUGAGGCAUGCUGGAGGUAUCAGAAGUGCGAAUGCUGACAUAAGUAACGAUAAAGCGGGUGAAAAGCCCGCUCGCCGGAAGACCAAGGGUUCCUGUCCAACGUUAAUCGGGGCAGGGUGAGUCGACCCCUAAGGCGAGGCCGAAAGGCGUAGUCGAUGGGAAACAGGUUAAUAUUCCUGUACUUGGUGUUACUGCGAAGGGGGGACGGAGAAGGCUAUGUUGGCCGGGCGACGGUUGUCCCGGUUUAAGCGUGUAGGCUGGUUUUCCAGGCAAAUCCGGAAAAUCAAGGCUGAGGCGUGAUGACGAGGCACUACGGUGCUGAAGCAACAAAUGCCCUGCUUCCAGGAAAAGCCUCUAAGCAUCAGGUAACAUCAAAUCGUACCCCAAACCGACACAGGUGGUCAGGUAGAGAAUACCAAGGCGCUUGAGAGAACUCGGGUGAAGGAACUAGGCAAAAUGGUGCCGUAACUUCGGGAGAAGGCACGCUGAUAUGUAGGUGAAGUCCCUCGCGGAUGGAGCUGAAAUCAGUCGAAGAUACCAGCUGGCUGCAACUGUUUAUUAAAAACACAGCACUGUGCAAACACGAAAGUGGACGUAUACGGUGUGACGCCUGCCCGGUGCCGGAAGGUUAAUUGAUGGGGUCAGCGCAAGCGAAGCUCUUGAUCGAAGCCCCGGUAAACGGCGGCCGUAACUAUAACGGUCCUAAGGUAGCGAAAUUCCUUGUCGGGUAAGUUCCGACCUGCACGAAUGGCGUAAUGAUGGCCAGGCUGUCUCCACCCGAGACUCAGUGAAAUUGAACUCGCUGUGAAGAUGCAGUGUACCCGCGGCAAGACGGAAAGACCCCGUGAACCUUUACUAUAGCUUGACACUGAACAUUGAGCCUUGAUGUGUAGGAUAGGUGGGAGGCUUGGAAGUGUGGACGCCAGUCUGCAUGGAGCCGACCUUGAAAUACCACCCUUUAAUGUUUGAUGUUCUAACGUUGACCCGUAAUCCGGGUUGCGGACAGUGUCUGGUGGGUAGUUUGACUGGGGCGGUCUCCUCCUAAAGAGUAACGGAGGAGCACGAAGGUUGGCUAAUCCUGGUCGGACAUCAGGAGGUUAGUGCAAUGGCAUAAGCCAGCUUGACUGCGAGCGUGACGGCGCGAGCAGGUGCGAAAGCAGGUCAUAGUGAUCCGGUGGUUCUGAAUGGAAGGGCCAUCGCUCAACGGAUAAAAGGUACUCCGGGGAUAACAGGCUGAUACCGCCCAAGAGUUCAUAUCGACGGCGGUGUUUGGCACCUCGAUGUCGGCUCAUCACAUCCUGGGGCUGAAGUAGGUCCCAAGGGUAUGGCUGUUCGCCAUUUAAAGUGGUACGCGAGCUGGGUUUAGAACGUCGUGAGACAGUUCGGUCCCUAUCUGCCGUGGGCGCUGGAGAACUGAGGGGGGCUGCUCCUAGUACGAGAGGACCGGAGUGGACGCAUCACUGGUGUUCGGGUUGUCAUGCCAAUGGCACUGCCCGGUAGCUAAAUGCGGAAGAGAUAAGUGCUGAAAGCAUCUAAGCACGAAACUUGCCCCGAGAUGAGUUCU